rnacentral:rRNA from 2 species
ACGGGAGGCAGCAGUGGGGAAUAUUGCGCAAUGGGGGAAACCCUGACGCAGCAACGCCGCGUGAAGGAAGAAGGUCUUCGGAUUGUAAACUUCUGUCUUAUGGGACGAAGAAUGACGGUACCAUAGGAGGAAGCCACGGCUAACUACGUGCCAGCAGCCGCGGUAAUACGUAGGUGGCAAGCGUUAUCCGGAUUUACUGGGUGUAAAGGGCGUGUAGGCGGGAUAGCAAGUCAGAUGUGAAAUACCGAGGCUUAACUUCGGGGCUGCAUUUGAAACUACUGUUCUUGAGUGUCGGAGAGGAAAGCGGAAUUCCUAGUGUAGCGGUGAAAUGCGUAGAUAUUAGGAGGAACACCGGUGGCGAAGGCGGCUUUCUGGACGAUAACUGACGCUGAGGCGCGAAAGCGUGGGUAGCAAACAGGAUUAGAUACCCUGGUA